GACGAACGCUGGCGGCGUGCUUAACACAUGCAAGUCGAACGGAAAGGCCCUGCUUUUGUGGGGUGCUCGAGUGGCGAACGGGUGAGUAACACGUGAGUAACCUGCCCUUGACUUUGGGAUAACUUCAGGAAACUGGGGCUAAUACCGGAUAGGAGCUCCUGCUGCAUGGUGGGGGUUGGAAAGUUUCGGCGGUUGGGGAUGGACUCGCGGCUUAUCAGCUUGUUGGUGGGGUAGUGGCUUACCAAGGCUUUGACGGGUAGCCGGCCUGAGAGGGUGACCGGCCACAUUGGGACUGAGAUACGGCCCAGACUCCUACGGGAGGCAGCAGUGGGGAAUAUUGCACAAUGGGCGGAAGCCUGAUGCAGCAACGCCGCGUGCGGGAUGACGGCCUUCGGGUUGUAAACCGCUUUCGCCUGUGACGAGGCGUGAGUGACGGUAAUGGGUAAAGAAGCACCGGCUAACUACGUGCCAGCAGCCGCGGUGAUACGUAGGGUGCGAGCGUUGUCCGGAUUUAUUGGGCGUAAAGGGCUCGUAGGUGGUUGAUCGCGUCGGAAGUGUAAUCUUGGGGCUUAACCCUGAGCGUGCUUUCGAUACGGGUUGACUUGAGGAAGGUAGGGGAGAAUGGAAUUCCUGGUGGAGCGGUGGAAUGCGCAGAUAUCAGGAGGAACACCAGUGGCGAAGGCGGUUCUCUGGGCCUUUCCUGACGCUGAGGAGCGAAAGCGUGGGGAGCGAACAGGCUUAGAUACCCUGGUAGUCCACGCUGUAAACGGUGGGUACUAGGUGUGGGGUCCAUUCCACGGGUUCCGUGCCGUAGCUAACGCUUUAAGUACCCCGCCUGGGGAGUACGGCCGCAAGGCUAAAACUCAAAGGAAUUGACGGGGCCCCGCACAAGCGGCGGAGCAUGCGGAUUAAUUCGAUGCAACGCGUAGAACCUUACCUGGGUUUGACAUGGAUCGGGAGUGCUCAGAGAUGGGUGUGCCUCUUUUGGGGUCGGUUCACAGGUGGUGCAUGCCUGUCGUCAGCUCGUGUCGUGAGAUGUUGGGUUAAGUCCCGCAACGAGCGCAACCCUUGUUCACUGUUGCCAGCACGUUAUGGUGGGGACUCAGUGGAGACCGCCGGGGUCAACUCGGAGGAAGGUGGGGAUGACGUCAAGUCAUCAUGCCCCUUAUGUCCAGGGCUUCACGCAUGCUACAAUGGCUGGUACAGAGAGUGGCGAGCCUGUGAGGGUGAGCGAAUCUCGGAAAGCCGGUCUCAGUUCGGAUUGGGGUCUGCAACUCGACCUCAUGAAGUCGGAGUCGCUAGUAAUCGCAGAUCAGCAACGCUGCGGUGAAUACGUUCCCGGG
rnacentral:rRNA from 1 species